rnacentral:rRNA from 1 species
AUUGAACGCUGGCGGCAGGCCUAACACAUGCAAGUCGAGCGGGGUUUUCGGACCUAGCGGCGGACGGGUGAGUAAUGCGUAGGAAGCUACCCGAUAGAGGGGGAUACCAGUUGGAAACGACUGUUAAUACCGCAUAAUGUCUACGGACCAAAGUGUGGGACCUUCGGGCCACAUGCUAUCGGAUGCGCCUACGUGGGAUUAGCUAGUUGGUGAGGUAAUGGCUUACCAAGGCGACGAGCCCUAGCUGGAUUGAGAGGAUGAUGAGCCACACUGGAACUGAGACACGGUCCAGAAUCCUACGGGAGGCAGCAGUGGGGAAUAUUGGACAAUGGGCGCAAGCCUGAUCCAGCCAUGCCGCGUGUGUGAAGAAGGCCUUCGGGUUGUAAAGCACUUUCAGUAGGGAGGAAGGGUUAAGUGUUAAUAGUACUUAACUUUGACGUUACCUACAGAAGAAGCACCGGCUAACUCUGUGCCAGCCGCCGCGGUAAGAC